AGGAGGAUCAUUUGAGGCUAGGAGUUCAAGACCACCCUGGGCAAUACAGCGAGACCUAUCUCUACAAAAAAAAAAGAAAAAGAAAAAUAGAUCUAAAUAGGUCUGCCCAUCCCUAAGGGAAGAUGCUUUGCAGAGAGAAACUGCAGCUCUUCCUCUUCCCAGCAUGCCCAAGGGACAGGAUUGCAAAGGCAGCCAGUGAACUCACUGAGGCCAGGCCUGCUAGGAGAGCUUCGUGAGGGGCUGUGCCUCUCAUGUCUCCUGGGGGACCUCAUCCUUAUUGAGAGUCACUGAAGGGACCCUAAAUAGGAGGCACUGUGGACACCCACCAAGGGACACUGCCUGUGCAUCAGUUGUGCAGCUGGCUGCACCAAAAUCCAGGGGACACAUUAUAUAGCCCUGGCCUCAGGGUGUGUGGUCAAGUUGAGGAAGUGAGCAAAGAAAUGAAAAGCAUCUCUUCGUUAGUCCUCCUUCCCAACAUGGCGCAGUCUAUUAACAUCAUGGAGCUGCAUCUGCCGCAACUAGAAAUGCUCAAGAACCAGCUGGACCAGAAAGUGGAGUUCUUCUCCACGUCCAUUGCCCAGCUCAAAGUGGUACAGACCAAGUAUGUGGAAGCCAAGGACUGUCUGAACAUGCUGAACAAGAGCAAUGAGGGGAAAGAAUUACAUGUCCCACUGACAAGUUCUAUGUAUGUCCCUGGGAAGCUGCAUGAUGUGGAACAUGUGCUCAUCCAUGUGGGAACUGGGUACUAUGUAGAGAAGACAGCUGAGGAUGCCAAGGACUUCUUCAAGAGGAAGAUCGAUUUUCUAACCAAGCAGAUGGAGAAAAUCCAACCAGCUCUUCAGGAGAAGCAUGCCAUGAAACAGGCUGUCAUGGAAAUGAUGAGUCAGAAGAUUCAGCAGCUCACAGCCCUGGGGGCAGCUCAGGCUACUGCUAAGGCCUGAGAGUUUUUGCAGAAAUGGGGCAGAGGGACACCCUUUGGGCAUGGCUUCCUGGUGCUGGGAAGAGUCUUGUGCUUAAUGCCAAUAAAUGUGCCAGCUGGGCAAAAAAAAAAAAAAAAAAAAA